UUUUAAAUUUAGAGUUUGAUCCUGGCUCAGGACGAACGCUGGCGGCGUGCUUAACACAUGCAAGUCGAGCGAUGAAGCUUCCUUCGGGAAGUGGAUUAGCGGCGGACGGGUGAGUAACACGUGGGUAACCUGCCUCAAAGUGGGGGAUAGCCUUCCGAAAGGAAGAUUAAUACCGCAUAAUAUAAGAGAAUCGCAUGAUUUUUUUUAUCAAAGAUUUAUUGCUUUGAGAUGGACCCGCGGCGCAUUAGCUAGUUGGUAAGGUAACGGCUUACCAAGGCAACGAUGCGUAGCCGACCUGAGAGGGUGAUCGGCCACAUUGGAACUGAGACACGGUCCAGACUCCUACGGGAGGCAGCAGUGGGGAAUAUUGCGCAAUGGGGGAAACCCUGACGCAGCAACGCCGCGUGGGUGAUGAAGGUCUUCGGAUUGUAAAGCCCUGUUUUCUAGGACGAUAAUGACGGUACUAGAGGAGGAAGCCACGGCUAACUACGUGCCAGCAGCCGCGGUAAUACGUAGGUGGCGAGCGUUGUCCGGAUUUACUGGGCGUAAAGGGUGCGUAGGCGGAUGUUUAAGUGGGAUGUGAAAUCCCCGGGCUUAACCUGGGGGCUGCAUUCCAAACUGGAUAUCUAGAGUGCAGGAGAGGAAAGCGGAAUUCCUAGUGUAGCGGUGAAAUGCGUAGAGAUUAGGAAGAACACCAGUGGCGAAGGCGGCUUUCUGGACUGUAACUGACGCUGAGGCACGAAAGCGUGGGUAGCAAACAGGAUUAGAUACCCUGGUAGUCCACGCCGUAAACGAUGGAUACUAGGUGUAGGGGGUAUCAACUCCCCCUGUGCCGCAGUUAACACAAUAAGUAUCCCGCCUGGGGAGUACGGUCGCAAGAUUAAAACUCAAAGGAAUUGACGGGGGCCCGCACAAGCAGCGGAGCAUGUGGUUUAAUUCGAAGCAACGCGAAGAACCUUACCUGGACUUGACAUCCCUUGCAUAGCCUAGAGAUAGGUGAAGCCCUUCGGGGCAAGGAGACAGGUGGUGCAUGGUUGUCGUCAGCUCGUGUCGUGAGAUGUUAGGUUAAGUCCUGCAACGAGCGCAACCCUUGUUAUUAGUUGCUACCAUUAAGUUGAGCACUCUAAUGAGACUGCCUGGGUAACCAGGAGGAAGGUGGGGAUGACGUCAAAUCAUCAUGCCCCUUAUGUCCAGGGCUACACACGUGCUACAAUGGUAGGUACAAUAAGAUGCGAGACCGUGAGGUGGAGCAAAACUUAUAAAACCUAUCUCAGUUCGGAUUGUAGGCUGCAACUCGCCUACAUGAAGCUGGAGUUGCUAGUAAUCGCGAAUCAGAAUGUCGCGGUGAAUACGUUCCCGGGCCUUGUACACACCGCCCGUCACACCAUGAGAGCUGGUAACACCCGAAGUCCGUGAGGUAACCGUAAGGAGCCAGCGGCCGAAGGUGGGAUUAGUGAUUGGGGUGAAGUCGUAACAAGGUAGCCGUAGGAGAACCUGCGGCUGGAUCACCUCCUUUCUA
rnacentral:rRNA from 1 species